rnacentral:rRNA from 1 species
AUACGUAGGGAGCGAGCGUUGUCCGGAAUUACUGGGCGUAAAGGGUGCGUAGGUGGCACUUUAAGUCGGAUGUGAAAUCCCCGAGCUUAACAUGGGAGCUGCAUCCAAUACUGGAGAGCUAGAGUGCAGGAGAGGUAAGCGGAAUUCCUAGAGUAGCGGUGAAAUGCGUAGAUAUUAGGAGGAACACCAGUGGCGAAGGCGGCUUACUGGACUGUAACUGACACUGAGGCACGAAAGCGUGGGGAGCAAACAGGAUUAGAUACCCUGGUAGUCCACGCUGUAAACGAUGAAUACUAGGUGUAGGGGGUAUCAACUCCCUCUGUGCCGCAGCAAACGCAAUAAGUAUUCCGCCUGGGGAGUACGGCCGCAAGGUUGAAACUCAAAUGAAUUGGCGGGG